CUGCAUUCCUGACUUGCCUAAAUUCCUGUGAAACUCAAUGGCUGUUUUGAGUGUGCAAGGACGGGGCUAAAAAUUGUGUUCUACAUUCUGCACUUCUAAAGUCUCCCCAAGUGGCAUCACUUACAAUUAAAACUUCAAAGCAGACAAGCAGCAAGUACAGUGCAGUGAGAACAUCAGCAGUGGACAGAAAGUCAAACAAGCUGAACAUCAUGGACUGUUACAGUAAAAUACUUGAUUUACCAUGUGCAAAAAAGAUAUUAAUAUAUAGCCCAAGAGGUGGUAUGACUGGAACAGCAGGAGAGAAAUGAGUACUUAGCGGGAGCAAUGGAAAUGAGAAAAAUGCAGUGAUUUUAAAAGAAUGCUGAAAGCCACAGUAGAUCCCCAGAAAAGAUGGCACAUCUCAUGAUCUUCUCUGAUGGAAGGACAGCACCAACCUCUCAAACACAUAGCCUUUAUCAGUUCUGCGUGGCCAGAAGCACGAUGAUGGUUUUAGAAUAUACCCAUCACCAAGCAAAAAGCAUAGAACAGUGGCAAGACAAGGGCAAAGAAGGAGUAAUUUUCAGUUUCCCUGACAGAGCUGCAUAAAUUGUCAAAAUAAAAGUGCACUUUUCCAUUGA